rnacentral:rRNA from 1 species
GAAUUUUGGACAAUGGGGGAAACCCUGAUCCAGCCAUGCCGCGUGUGUGAAGAAGGUCNUCGGAUNGNAAAGCACUUUAAGUUGGNAAGAAGGGCAGUAAGUUAAUACCUUGCUGUUGUGACGUUACUGACAGAAUAAGCACCGGCUAACUUCGUGCCAGCAGCCGCGGUAAUACGAAGGGUGCAAGCGUUAAUCGGAAUUACUGGGCGUAAAGCGGGCGUAGGUGGUUUGUUAAGUUGGAAGUGAAAGCCCCGGGCUCAACCUAGGAACUGCUUUCAAAACUGGCAAGCUAGAGUAUGGUAGAGGGUAGUGGAAUUUCCUGUGUAGCGGUGAAAUGCGUAGAUAUAGGAAGGAACACCAGUGGCGAAGGCGACUACCUGGACUGAUACUGACACUGAGGUGCGAAAGCGUGGGGAGCAAACAGG